UGGGGAAUAUUGGACAAUGGGCGCANGCCUGAUCCAGCCAUACCGCGUGGGUGAAGAAGGCCUUCGGGUUGUAAAGCCCUUUUGUUGGGAAAGAAAUCCAGCCGGCUAAUACCUGGUUGGGAUGACGGUACCCAAAGAAUAAGCACCGGCUAACUUCGUGCCAGCAGCCGCGGUAAUACGAAGGGUGCAAGCGUUACUCGGAAUUACUGGGCGUAAAGCGUGCGUAGGUGGUUAUUUAAGUCCGUUGUGAAAGCCCUGGGCUCAACCUGGGAACUGCAGUGGAUACUGGAUGACUAGAAUGUGGUAGAGGGUAGCGGAAUUCCUGGUGUAGCAGUGAAAUGCGUAGAGAUCAGGAGGAACAUCCAUGGCGAAGGCAGCUACCUGGACCAACAUUGACACUGAGGCACGAAAGCGUGGGGAGCAAACAGGAUUAGAUACCCUGGUAGUCCACGCCCUAAACGAUGCGAACUGGAUGUUGGGUGCAAUUUGGCACGCAGUAUCGAAGCUAACGCGUUAAGUUCGCCGCCUGGGGAGUACGGUCGCAAGACUG
rnacentral:rRNA from 1 species